AUGGCUGCCUCUGCACUCGUUUUUGCAGGGAAAUCUGUGGCGACUUCGGCCAUAUCCUUCUUGGUCAACAAGGCUUUCAGCUACAUCGAUGAGUACUGCAAGUCCGAAAGCAUGGAUGAGUUGAAGAAUCGGCUCCUGCGGGCCAUGCCACAUAUCCAGGCGGUGUUUGAUGUCGUCAACCCAGAACUUGUCAGGGAGCAGAGCAGCGGCCUCGACGCGUGGCUCUGGCAGCUCAGGGACGCGGUCGAGACGGCGGAGGACGCCAUCGAUGAGCUUGAAUACUACGAGCUCGAGGAGAAGGCCAAGGACCAAAAGGUUAGUGAAUGGGGUUCUCCUCUUGUUAAGAUGAAGCACAAGUUUGUCAGGUCUCUUGGCCCUGCUGUCAACAAGACUAUCAAGAAAAUUAGUCACCGUGAUACUCUGAAGAGAUUGAUGAAAUCUGUGGAUGAUUUAGACAAGGCUGCCAUAGGUGUUAGUGAUUUCCUCAAGCUCACAGACCAUCUCAGUGGAGGUUCUUCUACCAGCAGUCAGCAGAAAGUUCAGAAGCUCAUGGACAAUGAUCGCCAGACUAGUUCAAUAUUAAGUGCAACCAUUUUUAUUGGACGAGAAAAGGAGAAAGAACAGAUUAUUGGAUGGCUAACCAACACGUCAGAUGAAUUGGGAGAAACUAGGGUCAGAAGGACCAAUAGUAUUCCAAUUAUUUCAGUUAUUGGUCAUGGUGGCAUGGGGAAGACUACCUUGGCUCAGAGCAUAUUGUUGAAGUAUAUUGCCCGCCUCUCUCCAUCAGUUCGGACUUUUGGAUGA
rnacentral:rRNA from 1 species